AGAUGUGAGGGCAAUCUGGCUGCGACAUGUGUCACCCCAUUGAUUGCCAAGGUUGAUUCAGCUGAUCCGGCUGGCUAGGCGGUGUCCCCUUCCUCCCUCACCACUCCAUGUGCAUCCCUCCCAAGUUGUGCACUCGGUCAAAGAGGACAGCCUUCCCCAAUAGAGACGGACUGGUCUCUGGUUGAGGGUAUACACGUAGCUGCGCUCCCCUGCUAGAACCUCCAAACAAGCUCUCAAGGAAUACAGACUGGAAGGGAAGAAGUCAAACUUUCACUCUUUGCAGAUGAUAUGAUAGU
rnacentral:snRNA from 1 species